AACGAACGCUGGCGGCGUGCUUAAGACAUGCAAGUCCGUACGGUAAGGCCCCCUUCGGGGGGUACACGAGUGGCGCACGGGUGAGUAACGCGUGGGUAAUCUACCUCCGGGUCUGGGGACAACUUCGGGAAAACUGGAGCUAAUACCGGAUAAGACCACGAGGUCCUCGGACUUCGCGGAAAAAGGUGGCCUCUUCUUGAAAGCUACCGCCCGUUGAUGAGCCCGCUCCCAUUAGUUUGUUGGUGAGGUAACGGCUCACCAAGGCACCGAUGGGGUAGCUGGUCUGAGAGGAUGAUCAGCCACACUGGAACUGAGACACGGUCCAGACUCCUACGGGAGGCAGCAGUCGGGAAUUUUGGGCAAUGGGCGCAAGCCUGACCCAGCAACGCCGCGUGAGGGAUGAAGGCCUUCGGGUCGUAAACCUCUGUCGAGAGGGACGAACGAUCAGCGGGUGAACAAUCCGGUGGUCUGACGGUACCUCCAAAGGAAGUGCCGGCUAACUCCGUG
rnacentral:rRNA from 1 species